AGACCGAUAGCGAACAAGUACAGUGAUGGAAAGAUGAAAAGAACUUUGAAAAGAGAGUGAAAAAGUACGUGAAAUUGUUGAAAGGGAAGGGCUUGAGAUCAGACUUGGUAUUUUGUAUGUUACUCUCUCGGGGGUGGCCUCUACAGUUUACCGGGCCAGCAUCAGUUUGGGCGGUAGGACAAUUGCAAAGAAAUGUGGCACUGCCUCGGUAGUGUGUUAUAGUCUUUGUCGAUACUGCCAGCCUAGACUGAGGACUGCGGCUUCGGCCUAGGAUGUUGGCAUAAUGAUCUUAAGUCGCCCGUCUUGAAACACGGACCAAG
rnacentral:rRNA from 2 species